UACGUAGGGGGCAAGCGUUGUCCGGAAUCAUUGGGCGUAAAGGGCGCGUAGGUGGCCCGGUCAGUCAGUGGUGAAAGCGCGGGGCUCAACUCCGCGUCGGCCAUUGAUACUGCUGGGCUGGAGCACUGUAGAGGCAGGCGGAAUUCCGGGUGUAGCGGUGGAAUGCGUAGAGAUCCGGAAGAACACCGGUGGCGAAGGCGGCCUGCUGGGCAGUAGCUGACACUGAGGCGCGACAGCGUGGGGAGCAAACAGG
rnacentral:rRNA from 1 species